rnacentral:rRNA from 1 species
UGGGGAAUUUUGGACAAUGGGGGAAACCCUGAUCCAGCCAUCCCGCGUGUGCGAUGAAGGCCUUCGGGUUGUAAAGCACUUUUGGCAGGAAAGAAACGUCAUGGGUUAAUACCCCGUGAAACUGACGGUACCUGCAGAAUAAGCACCGGCUAACUACGUGCCAGCAGCCGCGGUAAUACGUAGGGUGCAAGCGUUAAUCGGAAUUACUGGGCGUAAAGCGUGCGCAGGCGGUUCGGAAAGAAAGAUGUGAAAUCCCAGAGCUCAACUUUGGAACUGCAUUUUUAACUACCGGGCUAGAGUGUGUCAGAGGGAGGUGGAAUUCCGCGUGUAGCAGUAAAAUGCGUAGAUAUGCGGAGGAACACCGAUGGCGAAGGCAGCCUCCUGGGAUAACACUGACGCUCAUGCACGAAAGCGUGGGGAGCAAACAGG